AUUGAACGCUGGCGGAAUGCUUUACACAUGCAAGUCGAACGGCAGCACGGACUUCGGUCUGGUGGCGAGUGGCGAACGGGUGAGUAAUGUAUCGGAACGUGCCCAGUCGUGGGGGAUAACGUAGUGAAAAUUACGCUAAUACCGCAUACGAUCUAUGGAUGAAAGCGGGGGAUCGGAGGACCUUGCGCGAUUGGAGCGGCCGAUAUCAGAUUAGGUAGUUGGUGGGGUAAAGGCCCACCAAGCCAACGAUCUGUAGCUGGUCUGAGAGGACGACCAGCCACACUGGAACUGAGACACGGUCCAGAGUCCUACGGGAGGCAGCAGUGGGGAAUUUUGGACAAUGGGCGCAAGCCUGAUCCAGCCAUUCCGCGUGCAGGAUGAAGGCCCUCGGGUUGUAAACUGCUUUUGUACGGAACGAAACGGUGCUCUCUAAUACAGGGCGCUAAUGACGGUACCGUAAGAAUAAGCACCGGCUAACUACGUGCCAGCAGCCGCCGUAA
rnacentral:rRNA from 1 species